AAGGUAGCGAAAUUCCUUGUCGGGUAAGUUCCGACCUGCACGAAUGGCGUAACGAUCUCCACACUGUCUCGGCCAGAGACUCGGUGAAAUUGCAGUCGCGGUGAAAAUUCCGUGUACCCGCAGAAAGACGGAAAGACCCUGUGCACCUUUACUAUAGCUUGACAUUGGGAUUUGAACCUGCAUGUGUAGGAUAGGUGGGAGGCUGUGAACCCUGUACGCCAGUAUGGGGGGAGCCAUCCUUGAAAUACCACCCUUGCAUGUUUAAGAUCCUAACUUCUUCCGGUUAUCCCGGAGAAAGACAGUGUCUGGCGGGUAGUUUGACUGGGGCGGUCGCCUCCUAAAGUGUAACGGAGGCAUGCAAAGGUUCCCUCAGCCUGAUCGGAAACCAGGCGCUGAGUGCAAACGCAUAAGGGAGCUUGACUGUAAGAGAGACAUCUCGAACAGGAACGAAAGUUGGCGUUAGUGAUCCGGUGGUCCCGAAUGGAAGGGCCAUCGCUCAUUGGAUAAAAGGUACGCCGGGGAUAACAGGCUGAUCGCAUCCAAGAGUUCACAUCGACGAUGCGGUUUGGCACCUCGAUGUCGGCUCAUCACAUCCUGGGGCUGAAGCAGGUCCCAAGGGUACGGCUGUUCGCCGUUUAAAGUGGUACGCGAGCUGGGUUUAAAACGUCGUGAGACAGUUUGGUCCCUAUCUUCUGUGGGCGAAGGAGAAUUGAGAGGGCCUGUCCCUAGUACGAGAGGACCGGGAUGGACGCACCCCUGGUGAUCCUGUUGUCGCGCCAGCGGCAUAGCAGGGUAGCUAUGUGCGGAAGGGAUAACCGCUGAAAGCAUCUAAGCGGGAAGCCUGCCUCAAGAUAAGUUCUCCCCUCGAAAGAGCUGAAGGGCCCGGGUAGACUACCCGGUCGAUAGGCUGGAGGUGUAAGCGCGGCGACGUGCUCAGCUGACCAGUACUAAUAGCCCGAGCGGCUUAUUUUU
rnacentral:rRNA from 1 species